rnacentral:rRNA from 1 species
UCGAGAAUCUUCCGCAAUGGGCGAAAGCCUGACGGAGCGACACCGCGUGCAGGACGAAGGCCCUCGGGUUGUAAACUGCUGUCACGCUCUAGGAAUGCCAUGUCGUUAAUAGCGGCAUGGUUGACCAAGGCGAAAGGAAGUGGCGGCUAACUCUGUGCCAGCAGCCGCGGUAAGACAGAGGCCACGAACGUUGUUCGGAAUCACUGGGCAUAAAGCGCACGUAGGCGGCUAGGUCCGUCCAAUGUGAAAGCCCCCGGCUCAACCGGGGAAUUGCAUCGGAUACAGCCUGGCUUGAGGACGGUUGGGGUGAGUGGAACUCCUGGUGGAGCGGUGAAAUGCGUAGAUAUCAGGAGGAACACCGGUGGCGAAAGCGGCUCACUGGACCGUAACUGAUGCUGAGGUGCGAAAGCUAGGGGAGCAAACGGGAUUAGAUACCCCUGUAGUCCCUGAGCGGGCUGGCAAGGCGCAU